GCCGGGAUGGCGGAACUGGUAGACGCAGCGGACUUAAAAUCCGCCGGAAGAAAUUCCAUGCCGGUUCGAUUCCGGCUCUCGGCA
rnacentral:tRNA from 1 species